rnacentral:misc_RNA from 1 species
UCGAAACCUGCAUAGCAGAACAACCAGUGAACACGUUAUUACCAUGAAAGGGGGAGGGGUGAUGGCUUGCCAAGCCCCUUCCCCUAAUGUCAUGUUGCUCUCCUCUGUGAUUGCUGCAUGUCACAAUAACCAAACCCCGGCGCGAAACGCGUCAAGGAACAUAAUCACUAGAAUGCCCAUCCUGAACCGGGUUUCCGGCAUAGGGGUGUGGCAACAAUGUAAGUCAUGAAAUGA